GUGCCUACGGGAGGCAGCAGUGGGGAAUAUUGCACAAUGGGGGAAACCCUGAUGCAGCGACGCCGCGUGAGCGAUGAAGUAUUUCGGUAUGUAAAGCUCUAUCAGCAGGGAAGAAAAUGACGGUACCUGACUAAGAAGCCCCGGCUAACUACGUGCCAGCAGCCGCGGUAAUACGUAGGGGGCAAGCGUUAUCCGGAUUUACUGGGUGUAAAGGGAGCGUAGACGGCUUGGCAAGCCAGAUGUGAAAGGCUGGGGCUCAACCCCUGGACUGCAUU
rnacentral:rRNA from 1 species